UGGUGACCGACCUCGGUCUCUCAGGAAGUGAAGCUGGAAACUGACUGGGAGGAACAGGUCACCAUGUGGAACUCACACAGGUGCCCAGGAGCAUGUGUUCAAGGAUUUUCACUGUUAAUUAUUUAGAACGGGGAAAAUGCUGAACGCCGCCGGCAGAAGUUAGUGAAAGGCUCUUGAGAGAAACCCUCUGAGGCUCUUGCCAGCGGCUGGGAGAAGUGCCAGAGGCCGGGCAUAGGCAUCCUGAUUCUCUCCUGGUGAAGCGACUGCAUUGAAACCCCCAGCAGCAAACACCGGGGCCCCAUGUGACUUGGAUUCCAGGAAACCCAUUCACUUCCAGGCUAGCCGGUGGAUCUUCUUAUUUCGGGGGUUAACCAGAUUCAGCAGAAAAGCAGAGAUAACGUUUUUGACUUUGAAGAAUCAAGACUUUGGGGUUGUAAGAACCUGAGCUCUGAGUUUCAAAAGUGGGAGCCCCGGGCAUGAAAUUUAUGUCAUUAACAAAAGGUUGGGGGCUAAGCAAGAUCCAACAACCACUUGGCCAGACCUAGUUACCAUCAGGUAUCUCUGAGCAGGGGGUCCCUGCAGAGGGGAAGAGGAGAGGGGAAAGAGGUACAAUGAUGUGGAUCUCCAGAGAGGUGAGUGGUGGCCAAAGCAAUGGCCCUGUGCCAGUCUGAGAGUGGGUGUGGGAAGGGGGGAGCCCCAGAGAGUGUCUGCCCCCCACCCAGGAUGGUACGGGAGGGGAUGGUCGCAUGGAGGGGUGACAGCCCUGCAGCAAUUUGCCCGACAUGCCAAUGUCCCCUGUAUGCCUCAGAGGAGGGCAGAAGAAGCUGAGAGAAGAAAGAGGGAGAAGCUGGGCAAAGAGAGGGCGUCCAGGAGGCGAGGAGGGCAUGUCUGCCAUCCGGAAGACAGAAAUGAGGCCAUGUCGGCAGGUGCCAGAGAAGACCAGAUUGCUGCUGGCCCCUGCCCAGGUCUUGGCACUUUGUGAACUCCCUUCACCCUGCC